UCUAUUUGUGUGCAGCGAGUUUUAAUCUUAAAAAAGGAAGUUUAAUUUCAUAACAAGCUUUAAACACGAUUGUGUGCUGCGUUUGAAGGUGGACUUCCGCACAGCAUUGACCGAUGCGGGAUAUUGGGCUUUGAUGGAAACCCCCAGUUUGUCAGUAAAGCUAACUGUGCAACUUCGCAGUAUUCUUUUUGUGAAGUUGAUAAUUACACCGGAAGUGAACUUUCAGUGUGCGGAUCAACUAAUGUAACAAAUCAGUCAUUCACGAAUGCCCCAAUCGUUUGCUUCAUACAAGCAAGAAACACUUACCACAACAAUCAUGCCAAUCAACGAGAAUACGUCAACAGAAUCAAUACUUUCUAAUCAUUCUUCAAGCUCAUCAGUGAGCAGAUCAACUAUUGUAACAACGCAGCCUUCUUCAAAUAUCACAUUGUUUGGUUCACAAAACACAGAAAGAUUAACAGCACAAAUCAUGCCAAUCAAUGAGAAUACAUCGACAGAAUCUAUAGUUCGUAGCCAUGCUCAAAGUUCAUCAGGCUCCGCUCUUGGCAUCAGUCUAGGUGUGAGCUUCAGCAUUGUGGUCAUCGUAAUAAUUACCACCUUCGGAGUCUGCGUUUAUAGAAGAAGGUAAAUACAUAACCUUUGCGAAACU